rnacentral:tRNA from 1 species
CCCUGCGUAGUCUAGACUGGUCGGGCGCCGGGCUGUAGACCCGGUCUUACGCUGGUUCAAAUCCGGCCGCAGGGA